UGGGUGACCUGCCUUCCAGUGAGGAAUACCGGCGAGAAAUCGCCGACAAUGCCGCAUACGCUUCGCUCCCUCAGCGGAUCGAAGCAAAGCCCCGCAAGGGGCGCUGGAAGAAGGGCCCGUGGCCGAUUAGCUAGUUGGUGAGGUAAGGGCUCACCAAGGCGACGAUCGGUCGCUGGUCUGAGAGGACGAUCAGCCACACUGGGAUUGAGAACGGCCCAG
rnacentral:rRNA from 1 species